rnacentral:rRNA from 1 species
AUUGAACGCUGGCGGCAUGCCUAACACAUGCAAGUCGAACGGCAGCAUGGCUGAGUGCUUGCACUUAGCUGAUGGCGAGUGGCGGACGGGUGAGUAACGCGUAGGAAUCUACCCUUAAGUUGGGGACGACCCGGGGAAACUCGGGCUAAUACCGAAUAAUUUCUGAGGAAAAAAGCUGGGGACCGCAAGGCCUGGCGCUUGAGGAGGAGCCUGCGUACGAUUAGCUAGUUGGUAGGGUAAAGGCCUACCAAGGCGACGAUCGUUAGCUGGUCUGAGAGGAUGACCAGCACACUGGGACUGAGAGACGGCCCAGACUCCUACGGGAGGCAGCAGUGGGGAAUAUUGGACAAUGGGGGCAACCCUGAUCCAGCGAUGCCGCGUGUGUGAAGAAGGCCUGAGGGUUGUAAAGCACUUUAGUUGGGGAGGAGAGGAUAGAGUUUAAGAGACAUUAUCUGAGACAUGAACCAAAGAAUAAGCACCGGCUAACUCCGUGCCAGCCGCCGCGGUAA